rnacentral:lncRNA from 8 species
CACCAGGCUUCCAGUGCGUUGGCUCAGUCAGGAGACGCCAGAGCUGCCCGUCAGUCAGGAGUCGCCAGAGCCGCCCGUCAGUCAGGAGUCGCCAGAGCCGCCCGUCAGUCAGGAGUCGCCAGAGCCGCCCGUCAGUCAGGAGUCGCCAGAGCCGCCCGUCAGUCAGGAGUCGCCAGAGCCACCCGUCAGUCAGGAGUCGCCAGAGCCGCCCGUCAGUCAGCAGUCGCCAGAGCCGCCCGUCAGUCAGGAGUCGCCAGAGCCGCCCGUCAGUCAGGAGUCGCCAGAGCCGCCCGUCAGUCAGGAGUCGCCAGAGCUGCCCGUCAGUCAGGAGCCGCCAGAGCGGCCCGUCAGUCAGGAGGCCCCUGCACAGUCAGGAGCUGCCAGAGUGGCCCGACUGCCCGGAGAUGCCAGAGUGGCCCGACUGCCCGGAGAUGCCAGAGUGGCCCGACUGCCCGGAGAUGCCAGAGUGGCCCGACUGCCCGGAGAUGCCAGAGUGGCCCGACUGCCCGGAGAUGCCAGAGUGGCCCGACUGCCCGGAGAUGCCAGAGUGGCCCGACUGCCCGGAUCAGCCAGAGUGGCCCGACGGCCCGGAUCAGCCAGUGGCCCGACGGCCCGGAUCAGCCAGAGUGGCCCGACGGCCCGGAUCAGCCAGAGUGGCCCGACGGCCCGGAUCAGCCAGAGUGGCCCGACGGCCCGGAUCAGCCAGAGUGGCCCGUCGGCCCGGAUCAGCCAGAGUGGCCCGUCGGCCCGGAUCAGCCAGAGUGGCCCGUCGGCCCGGAUCAGCCAGAGUGGCCCGUCGGCCCAGAGUCUGCUGAUGACCAAAAAUCAAGGGAGUCUAGCAGCAACCCUAAACUGAGUAAGCCUGACAUUUCAGAACUUAAAGUAAUUAACGGUUUAAUUGAUGAGUCUGCAUACAGGGUGGAGAGGAGGUCUGCCCAUGAUCCAGAGCAGGGGGAGUCUGCCUACGGUCCGAGGCUGAUCGGGUCGGUCGGCACUCUGGAGGACAAUAGGCCGGAGCCUGAACCACCACCUGCAUAG